UCGAACGCGCGGAUCAGGAGCUUGCUCCUGUGACGCGAGUGGCGGACGGGUGAGUAACACGUAGGCAACCUGCCCAUCAGACCGGGAUAACCACGGGAAACCGUGACUAAUACCGGAUAAUCCUUUCCCUCACAGGAGGGGGAGUUGAAAGGCGGUCUUUUGACUGCCACUGAUGGAUGGGCCUGCGGCGCAUUAGCUAGUUGGUGGGGUAAGGGCCCACCAAGGCGACGAUGCGUAGCCGACCUGAGAGGGUGAUCGGCCACACUGGGACUGAGACACGGCCCAGACUCCUACGGGAGGCAGCAGUAGGGAAUCUUCCGCAAUGGACGAAAGUCUGACGGAGCAACGCCGCGUGAGUGAAGAAGGGUUUCGGCUCGUAAAACUCUGUUGUCAGGGAAGAACGUCCCCGUGAGUAACUGCACGGGGAGUGACGGUACCUGACCAGAAAGCCACGGCUAACUACGUGCCAGCAGCCGCGGUAAUACGUAGGUGGCAAGCGUUAUCCGGAAUUAUUGGGCGUAAAGCGCGCGUAGGCGGUCUGUUAAGUCUGAUGUGAAAGCCCCCGGCUCAACCGGGGAGGGUCAUUGGAAACUGGCAGACUUGAGUGCAGAAGAGGAGAGUGGAAUUCCAUGUGUAGCGGUGAAAUGCGCAGAGAUAUGGAGGAACACCAGUGGCGAAGGCGGCUCUCUGGUCUGUAACUGACGCUGAGGUGCGAAAGCGUGGGGAUCAAACAGGAUUAGAUACCCUGGUAGUCCACGCCGUAAACGAUGAGUGCUAAGU
rnacentral:rRNA from 1 species